rnacentral:rRNA from 1 species
UACGUAGGUGGCAAGCGUUAUCCGGAUUCACUGGGCGUAAAGCGCAUGCAGGUGGCCCUGUAAGUCGGGCGUGAAAUCUCCUGGCUUAACUGGGAGACGCUGUUCUAAACUGCAGAGCUUGAGGCUGAGAGAGGGAAGUGGAAUUGCCGGUGUAGUGGUGAAAUGCGUAGAUAUCAUGAGGAAUACCAGAGGCGAAGGCGGCUACCUGGACAAUUGCUGACGCUCAGGCACGAAAGCGUGGGGAGCAAAAGGG